GCUUACGGCCACACCGCCUGGUUCACGCCCGAUCUUGUUUGAUCUCGGAAGCUAAGAUAGGUUGGGCCUGGUUAGUACUUGGAUGGGGAGACCGCCUGGGAAUACCAGGUGCUGUAAAGC
rnacentral:rRNA from 1 species